GAUGAACGCUGGCGGCGUGCUUAAUACAUGCAAGUCGAACGAAGAGCCUUUGUAGCAAUACGGAGGCUUCUUAGUGGCGAACGGGUGCGUAACGCGUUGGUGACCUGCCCCAAAGUGUGGGAUAACAGUUCGAAAGGACUGCUAAUACCGCAUGUGAUCUUCAGUUCUAGAAUCUGAUGAUUAAAGCAGUAAUGCGCUUUGGGAGGGACCUGCGUCCCAUCAGCUAGUUGGUGAGGUAAUGGCCCACCAAGGCUACGACGGGUAGGGAACCUGAGAGGGUGGCUCCCCACACUGGCACUGAAACACGGGCCAGACACCUACGGGUGGCAG
rnacentral:rRNA from 1 species